rnacentral:rRNA from 1 species
GACGAACGCUGGCGGCGUGCUUAACACAUGCAAGUCGAACGGAAAGGCCCUGCUUUUGUGGGGUGCUCGAGUGGCGAACGGGUGAGUAACACGUGAGUAACCUGCCCUUGACUUUGGGAUAACUUCAGGAAACUGGGGCUAAUACCGGAUAGGAGCUCCUGCUGCAUGGUGGGGGUUGGAAAGUUUCGGCGGUUGGGGAUGGACUCGCGGCUUAUCAGCUUGUUGGUGGGGUAGUGGCUUACCAAGGCUUUGACGGGUAGCCGGCCUGAGAGGGUGACCGGCGACAUUGGGACUGAGAGACGGCCCAGACUCCUACGGGAGGCAGCAGUGGGGAAUAUUGCACAAUGGGCGGAAGCCUGAUGCAGCAACGCCGCGUGCGGGAUGACGGCCUUCGGGUUGUAAACCGCUGUCGCCUGUGACGAAGCGUGAGUGACGGUAAUGGGUAAAGAAGCACCGGCUAACUACGUG